GUCGAACGAGCUUCCGUUGAAUGACGUGCUUGCACUGAUUUCAACAAUGAAGCGAGUGGCGAACUGGUGAGUAACACGUGGGGAAUCUGCCCAGAAGCAGGGGAUAACACUUGGAAACAGGUGCUAAUACCGUAUAACAACAAAAUCCGCAUGGAUUUUGUUUGAAAGGUGGCUUCGGCUAUCACUUCUGGAUGAUCCCGCGGCGUAUUAGUUAGUUGGUGAGGUAAAGGCCCACCAAGACGAUGAUACGUAGCCGACCUGAGAGGGUAAUCGGCCACAUUGGGACUGAGACACGGCCCAAACUCCUACGGGAGGCAGCAGUAGGGAAUCUUCCACAAUGGACGAAAGUCUGAUGGAGCAAUGCCGCGUGAGUGAAGAAGGGUUUCGGCUCGUAAAACUCUGUUGUUAAAGAAGAACACCUUUGAGAGUAACUGUUCAAGGGUUGACGGUAUUUAACCAGAAAGCCACGGCUAACUACGUGCCAGCAGCCGCGGUAAUACGUAGGUGGCAAGCGUUGUCCGGAUUUAUUGGGCGUAAAGCGAGCGCAGGCGGUUUUUUAAGUCUGAUGUGAAAGCCUUCGGCUUAACCGGAGAAGUGCAUCGGAAACUGGGAGACUUGAGUGCAGAAGAGGACAGUGGAACUCCAUGUGUAGCGGUGGAAUGCGUAGAUAUAUGGAAGAACACCAGUGGCGAAGGCGGCUGUCUAGUCUGUAACUGACGCUGAGGCUCGAAAGCAUGGGUAGCGAACAGGAUUAGAUACCCUGGUAGUCCAUGCCGUAAACGAUGAGUGCUAAGUGUUGGGAGGGUUUCCGCC
rnacentral:rRNA from 1 species